AUGAGAUCACAAGCUGACCCUUUGUUCUCUGAGUAUCUCUUAAGGAUUGGCAAUGGAACCGAAGAAGGUGAUGACUAUGUGCGUCUCCCUGAGGACAUUGUGAUCGGUCAUACUGAUGAUGAAACCACAGUCAAUAGGCUAAUCAAAGAAGUUUUCCCCUCUCUUAGUGCCAUUGCUAAAUCGGGAGAGUACAUGAGCUCGCGUGCUAUUCUUUCCACGAAGAAUGACUAUGUUGAUGAGCUGAAUUCCAAGAUGAUUGACAUGUUUCCUGGCCAAGAGAAGGUAUACCAUAGCUUCGACUCUAUUGAGGAUGACUACUCGAACAAUUACCCGAUUGACUUUGUGAAUUCGCUCACCCCAAAUGGAUUGCCACCACAUGUGUUGAAAGUGAAGGUCAAUUGCCUCGUCAUUCUGCUACGGAACCUCGACCCUCACAAUGGCCUCUGCAAUGGAACAAGGCUAAUGAUUAGAGCCUUCCAAGAUAAUGCAAUUGAUGCAGAGAUUGUUGGUGGGCAACAUGUUGGGAAGAGGGUCUUUAUACCGAGGAUCCCUUUGUCACCAUCGGAGGACAUCUCGCUUUCCUUCAAGCUUAAGAGGAAACAAUUCCCCAUCCGCCUAAGUUUUGCAAUGACCAUUAACAAGGCGCAGGGCCAGACCAUCCCAAAUGUUGGCAUUUAUCUUCCCGAGCCGGUGUUCUCCCAUGGUCAGCUGUAUGUUGCCUUGUCAAGGGGUGUAUCAAGGCGGACGACGCGAAUUUUGGCCAAGCCGAACAAACAAAUUGAUAAAUCAGGAAAAAGCACCAAGAAUAUUGUCUUUAUAGAUGUUUUAGAGGGAUGA
rnacentral:rRNA from 1 species